UCGAACAGCAUCAGUCCUGAUCAUGCGUUCGUUCGUAGUCACCGCGUUGGCAGCUGCCAUAGUAGCCUGUCUGGCUCUGACUGUAUCAGCGGGGGGCUAUGGGGGACACCACCAAGCGUACGCUCAUUAUAGACCGCCACGGUAUGGCGUCAGGUUAUUCCGUCAACGGUAUCUUGUCGACCCAGGCAGCGGUGGCGCCAUCGGAGGCGCCUCACUAUAUGGAAGCCAGUAUGGAUAUGGAAGCCAGUAUGGAUAUGCUCAAGGAGGAGGACUUAUUGGCCAAACCGUCAAUACGGGGUUUAAUCUUAUCUGGAUUUUAGUUAUUGCUGCGAUUGCCCUGUUCAUCAUUGGCAGUAUAUAGAAAAGAGUAACUUGAUUCUGACUGACUGACACGAACUCCCAACACAAUGCUCCUGUUUUGCACUUCUACUAUGUCGUUGCUCCUGUUUUCCAAUUAAACCUUUUGCUGUUUUAUCAUUUAA